rnacentral:tRNA from 2 species
GCCCAGGUGGCGGAAUUGGUAGACGCGCUGGCUUCAGGUGCCAGUGUCCUUAAGGACGUGGAGGUUCGAGUCCUCUCCUGGGCACCA